rnacentral:rRNA from 1 species
UACGUAGGUGACAAGCGUUGUCCGGAUUUACUGGGCGUAAAGGGCGCGUAGGCGCCUUCUAAGUCGAACGUGAAAUCCCUGGGCUCAACCCAGGAACUGCGUCCGAUACUGGAAGGCUUGAAUCCGGGAGAGGGAUGCGGAAUUCCAGGUGUAGCGGUGAAAUGCGUAGAUAUGCGGAGGAACACCGAUGGCGAAGGCAAUCCCCUGGGCCUGCACUGACGCUCAUGCACGAAAGCGUGGGGAGCAAACAGG